rnacentral:rRNA from 1 species
GACGAACGCUGGCGGCGUGCCUAACACAUGCAAGUCGAACGGAGAUAUUAAUGAAGCUUGCGAUUUAAUAUCUUAGUGGCGGACGGGUGAGUAACGCGUGGGUAAUCUGCCCUUGAGUGGGGGACAACAGUUGGAAACGACUGCUAAUACCGCAUAUGCUGAUUUAUCAGUAAAGGUGGCCUCUGAAUAUGCUGCCGCUUAAGGAUGAGCCCGCGUCUGAUUAGCUAGUUGGUGGGGCAACGGCCUACCAAGGCGACGAUCAGUAGCCGGCCUGAGAGGGUGAACGGCCACACUGGGACUGAGACACGGCCCAGACUCCUACGGGUGGCUG